AGUGAACGCUGGCGGUAGGCCUAACACAUGCAAGUCGAACGGCAGCACAGGAGAGCUUGCUCUCUGGGUGGCGAGUGGCGGACGGGUGAGGAAUACAUCGGAAUCUACUUUUUCGUGGGGGAUAACGUAGGGAAACUUACGCUAAUACCGCAUACGACCUACGGGUGAAAGCAGGGGAUCUUCGGACCUUGCGCGAUUGAGUGAGCCGAUGUCGGAUUAGCUAGUUGGCGGGGUAAAGGCCCACCAAGGCGACGAUCCGUAGCUGGUCUGAAAGGAUGAUCAGCCACACUGGAACAGCGACACGGUCCAGACUCCUACGGGAGGCAGCAGUGGGGAAUAUUGGACAAUGGGCGCAAGCCUGAUCCAGCCAUACCGCGUGGGUGAAGAAGGCCUUCGGGUUGUAAAGCCCUUUUGUUGGGAAAGAAAUCCAGCUGGUUAAUACCCGGUUGGGAUGACGGUACCCAAAGAAUAAGCACCGGCUAACUUCGUGCCAGCAGCCGCGGUAA
rnacentral:rRNA from 1 species